GCUUGCACCUCUUGAGAGCGGCGGACGGGUGAGUAAUGCCUAGGAAUCUGCCUGGUAGUGGGGGAUAACGUUCGGAAACGAACGCUAAUACCGCAUACGUCCUACGGGAGAAAGCAGGGGACCUUCGGGCCUUGCGCUAUCAGAUGAGCCUAGGUCGGAUUAGCUAGUUGGUGAGGUAAUGGCUCACCAAGGCGACGAUCCGUAACUGGUCUGAGAGGAUGAUCAGUCACACUGGAACUGAGACACGGUCCAGACUCCUACGGGAGGCAGCAGUGGGGAAUAUUGGACAAUGGGCGAAAGCCUGAUCCAGCCAUGCCGCGUGUGUGAAGAAGGUCUUCGGAUUGUAAAGCACUUUAAGUUGGGAGGAAGGGUUGUAGAUUAAUACUCUGCAAUUUUGACGUUACCGACAGAAUAAGCACCGGCUAACUCUGUGCCAGCAGCCGCGGUAAUACAGAGGGUGCAAGCGUUAAUCGGGAAUUACUGGGCGUAAAGCGCGCGUAG
rnacentral:rRNA from 1 species